rnacentral:rRNA from 1 species
UAGGGAAUCUUCCGCAAUGGACGCAAGUCUGACGGAGCAACGCCGCGUGAGUGAAGAAGGAUUUCGGUUCGUAAAACUCUGUUGUUAGAGAAGAACAGCGCAUAGAGUAACUGUUAUGCGUGUGACGGUAUCUAACCAGAAAGCCACGGCUAACUACGUGCCAGCAGCCGCGGUAAUACGUAGGUGGCAAGCGUUGUCCGGAUUUAUUGGGCGUAAAGCGAGCGCAGGCGGUCAAUUAAGUCUGAUGUGAAAGCCCCCGGCUCAACCGGGGAAGGUCAUUGGAAACUGGUUGACUUGAGUGCAGAAGAGGAGGGUGGAAUUCCAGGUGUAGCGGUGAAAUGCGUAGAUAUGUGGAGGAACACCGGUGGCGAAGGCGACUCUCUGGUCUGUAACUGACGCUGAGGCUCGAAAGCGUGGGUAGCAAACAGG